GUGCUGAUGAGGAGUCCCAAACUAGGAUGAAACAGCUGUCCAGUAU
rnacentral:hammerhead_ribozyme from 1 species